rnacentral:rRNA from 1 species
AGUGGACGCUGGCGGUAGGCCUAACACAUGCAAGUCGAACGGCAGCACAGUAAGAGCUUGCUCUUACGGGUGGCGAGUGGCGGACGGGUGAGGAAUACAUCGGAAUCUACUUUUUCGUGGGGGAUAACGUAGGGAAACUUACGCUAAUACCGCAUACGACCUACGGGUGAAAGCAGGGGAUCCUCGGACCUUGCGCGAUUGAAUGAGCCGAUGUCGGAUUAGCUAGUUGGCGGGGUAAAGGCCCACCAAGGCGACGAUCCGUAGCUGGUCUGAGAGGAUGAUCAGCCACACUGGAACUGAGACACGGUCCAGACUCCUACGGGAGGCAGCAGUGGGGAAUAUUGGACAAUGGGCGCAAGCCUGAUCCAGCCAUACCGCGUGGGUGAAGAAGGCCUUCGGGUUGUAAAGCCCUUUUGUUGGGAAAGAAAAGCAGCAGGUUAAUACCCCGCUGUUCUGACGGUACCCAAAGAAUAAGCACCGGCUAACUUCGUG